AAGGAGAGCUCACCAUGUCGCCGGUCC
rnacentral:sRNA from 1 species